rnacentral:rRNA from 1 species
CCGCACAAGCGGUGGAUGAUGUGGAUUAAUUCGAUGCAACGCGAAAACCUUACCUACCCUUGACAUGUCAGGAAUCCUGAAGAGAUUUGGGAGUGCUCGAAAGAGAGCCUGAACACAGGUGCUGCAUGGCUGUCGUCAGCUCGGUGUCGUGAGAUGUUGGGUUAAGUCCCGCAACGAGCGCAACCCUUGCCAUUAGUUGCUACGAAAGGGCACUCUAAUGGGACUGCCGGUGACAAACCGGAGGAAGGUGGGAUGACGUCAAGUCCUCAUGGCCCUUAUGGGUAGGGCUUCACACGUCAUACAAUGGUACAUACAGAGGGCUGCUAAAUCGUGAGAUGGAGCCAAUCCCAGAAAGUGUAUCGUAGUCCGGAUUGAAGUCUGCAACUCGACUUCAUGAAGUUGGAAUCGCUAGUAAUCGCGGAUCAGCAUGUCGCGGUGAAUACGUUCCCGGGUCUU